rnacentral:lncRNA from 11 species
GGGCUACUUGCCAUGACACAUUGGGCUUGCGGCAAUCCAGACAACGUGAACUUCUAUCCAGGCCACUUCAAGUCAUCCUGGUUGCCUCUCGCAUUCAAGCACCACCAUUCUAUACCUGUAUUUACACAUCUCAAGUAUCCUUUGCCUUCAGCUUUUCAUGGCUUUGCAACAGCAUUAAAGACACAACAGUAAGAGCAGCAAGCAGCUCCCCAAGGCAAGCCUGUCCAUCCAUCUACAUGAUGGCUAAAACUGAGGAACAAGAGGGAAGGGAAGGGAAGGCUGAGGACUUUUUCAGACGUUACACUUCCCAAGCAUAGGUACCAAACAAUGAAAAGAGCAUUUCCUGCAAAUUGUGGUUGUGAGCCUUCAAAUUGUUUCCAGUUUAUGGCCACCCCAAGGCAAUUCUACCACAGGGCUUUCUUGGCAAGAUUAGUUCAACGGAUGCUCCCUUUUUCUUCUUCUGAAGCUGAAAAGAUGUGGCUUGUCCAAGAGACCGCAGGCCAACUCCAUCUACAAAGCAUGAAAAUCUGAUGAGUAGUCUAAUUUUUGACCAAUGGAGCCAUAUAACCCACCAGCCAUGUAUUGUGACCAACUGGCUACCUGGCAACCUCACAUAGCAGUCAAAAGUAGUAAGAAAUAUUAGAAGAUUUAUGGGGACUCUAUAGCAGUGACAGACAUCUUGUUGUCUUCCCAAUAUUGUUGCUAAUACUAGUAAGAAAUGAU